GGUAGCCGGCCUGAGAGGGUGACCGGCCACACUGGGACUGAGAUACGGCCCAGACUCCUACGGGAGGCAGCAGUGGGGAAUAUUGCACAAUGGGCGCAAGCCUGAUGCAGCGACGCCGCGUGRGGGAUGACGGCCUUCGGGUUGUAAACCUCUUUCAGCANGGACGAAGNGNNANUGACGGUANNUGNAGAAGAAGGACCGGCNAACUACGUGCCAGCAGCCGCGGUAAUACGUAGGGUNCGAGCGUUGUCCGGAAUUACUGGGCGUAAAGAGCUCGUAGGUGGUUUGUCRCGUUGUUCGUGAAAACCCACAGCUUAACUGNGGGCGUGCGGGCGAUACGGGCAGACUGGAGUACUGCAGGGGA
rnacentral:rRNA from 1 species